rnacentral:tRNA from 1 species
CGGGCUGUAGCAUAACGGCUAAAUGCACUUGGUUGUCUCCCAAGGUGAUGUGGGUUCGAAUCCCAUCGGUCCGGCCA